AUCACGGUUGGACAUCGUGAGGUUAGUGCAAUGGCAUAAGCCCGCUUAACUGCGAGAAUGACGGUUCGAGCAGGUGCGAAAGCAGGUCAUAGUGAUCCGGUGGUUCUGUAUGGAAGGGCCAUCGCUCAACGGAUAAAAGGUACUCCGGGGAUAACAGGCUGAUACCGCCCAAGAGUUCAUAUCGACGGCGGUGUUUGGCACCUCGAUGUCGGCUCAUCACAUCCUGGGGCUGAAGUCGGUCCCAAGGGUAUGGCUGUUCGCCAUUUAAAGUGGUACGCGAGCUGGGUUUAGAACGUCGUGAGACAGUUCGGUCCCUAUCUGCCGUGGGCG
rnacentral:rRNA from 1 species